UUGACGUUUUCAUAAGCAGCCCGGACUCAACCGUCGUUGGAAUUUCUGCCCCGCACGAGAACGCGAGGGUUUCCUCCGCCGCCGCCGCUGCCGCGGCUCUAUAUCCCUCCACUCCACGGCGCCCGUCCUCGCUCCGCAGUCGCCAAAUUCGGAUGAGAUCGGCAGAAUCCACUCUCGGGCGAUGUUUCUCUCUCUGUAAGUCACUGCCGCGACCCAUGGAAACUCCGACGAACGGAGUACAUGCCGGCAGCCUGCGGGCCGGCGGAUCAGCGCCGGCCGCCUCCACCUUCACCUCCUCCUCCAUGACCUACGCAGCCGGACGCCCGAGGUGAUCGCGUGCUAUGAGUGCGUGUUGGUGUGUGCUUAGCCUGCUGCUGCGUGCGUACCGGCUCGCGUGCGUGUGCCUGUGUGCUGAUGGAAAGUAUGGCUUGCUAGCCAGAACAUCUUCGUGACACUGAUUGUUUUGCCGCUGCUUAGUACUUCCCUAUACAGUAGAUAAAAGAUGAUUUGUGUGUUCUAAAUUCUUGCAAAGUGAACUGACUAUUUGUUAUCUCUUCUCUCUAGAUCAGAGAAGAUGUUAUUGUUUUUUCAGAAAAAGGAAAUUAGUAUUUGAACGCCAUCCUACAACAUGAGUACUAGAUUUUGUAUGAACAGAUCAUAAAUAACCUGGAAGUAGCACGCUCCCUUGCUGUUGUAAUUCUCAGCGUGUACUUUUGCUACUGUACUAUUGCUUGACAAUCUGGUCUGGAUUUAUGAUAGGUAGAACUAUGUGAUUUGUAUUUAUAUGUUGUUAGUUUGAUCCAACUGGAACUUCUUACUGUUCAAGAAUGAUGCUUCGUGAUGUAAAGAUGUUCUGUUUAAGUGGGAGCCGUGAAGGGCCUAAUCUGUGCAAUCUUAAGUUUCAGAAAUAUGGUAGUAGUCCAUAUAGAGUACAAGAGCUGACCAAUGUGGUGGUGUGGAGCAGACUGACAAUGGAAAUACCCAGGCUCAUGCUUUUAUUCUCUGUCCAGUAGAUGAAAUUAUCACAUGAUGGUUGAUGCAGAGGAGUGGAAGGUGUAUGGAGUUUCAAUUAGAUUGGGUGGCCACCGGCGUCCAUGAGACUCCAGAGCAACAUGGCAGACUGUUAGCACAUCUGCUCACAUCAUUGACAUUCGUCAUGAGUCACCCAUAGGCCCACUCAGUAACUCCAUAUCCUUAAAUUCCAAGCCUCAGAUGAUUUGCAUUAAUAUAUUAUCUCUAAUACCUUGGCCCAAACAUUGAUGGUACAUGCAAAAUUUAUAAAGCUAGAUUUGGUGUGAGUGCAUAGCAUAUUGAAAUAAAUUUGGAUGAACUAACUUGAGUUCUUCCAUCAAGUUUUAUUAUAUCAAAUCUUCAAUAAAAAAUUUACAACAAAAACGACAUGUAAAUAUUGACAAGCCUGAUGUUGUGUGCCCGCAACACUUCUGCCGCUGAUUAUGAUGAUGAAUUCUUCGCUUAAAUGGAAGUUUUUCAGUGUGAACUUUUGAUGAACUAUCUUCAUGAUGAUGAUGCUAGAUGUUAUAUGAUUUGUUAUGUUAAUGAAAAUCUUUUAUACCUAGCUGACUACCCAUUAUGUUAUACUCCCUCCAUUCCUUUAUAUAAGGUGUAUUUGUUUUUUCAAAAGUCAAAUGAGUGCAUGUUUGACCAAGCUUUUAGAAAAAUAUAUACAUAUUCACAAUAUGAAAUUUAUAUAAUUUGAUCCAUCAUGAAAAGUAGUUUCAUGUUUUAUCUAUUAGGUAUAGCAGAUGUUAUUAUUUUAUUCUAUAAUCUUGGUCAAACAUUUAAAUGGUUGACUUCCACGGAAAUCAAUACACCUUAUAUUCUGGAACGGACUAUGAUUUAUUUAUUUUCUCCAGUUGCAAUGCACGGGCUAUUACCAAUAAUUUUCAUUAUCAAAUGCAGUGUUAAUGAAAGGGUGUUCCUUUAUCAUGGUUAAAGGUUGCAUGUCUUCUGAUAAGUGCCUUGAUAUCUUUUCGGUCUCUACUUGAAUGUUGCGUAAUUAAUUUUUUAGUGCCCAACAAUCUUUGCACUGAUUCUUGCAAGGGAUCCUCGAGGAAGCUAAGUAAAUGACUAUUCUCAGUGGAGACGACACCAUAGAUGUUGUUUUGAAUGGUCGGCUUUUUCCUGAAGGGAUUGAGAUUACCAAGAUUCGGAUCAGAUCCCUGCUUUGUCAGCGCAGGAGAACUGCUCAAGCACGUAGGCACGGCGUGCCUGACGCGGAUUACACCCGAACUGCCCUCCUUUGACAUAAAAGGUACCCGAUUCCCUCGACAAAAAUCCUGACUAAAUCGCAAGUUUCCUUGCUUGAAAAUUGAUGCAUCUGAGGUUUUCAAUCUCGCCGACUUCGCUGGAGUGGCGUGCGCCCAUGCUCAAGUAGAGGUACGAAUUUGCAAUAUUAAUUGUUUUUAGGUGCUUCUACAUGAAUCCACCAUUAGUACCAACUUAGCCACCACACUUUCCCUACUGUAGCAGCCUUCAAAGCACCACUGUAUGUGGGCUCUCUCAAUGUCAUUUCAUUGGCUGAGUUGAUCUCACAGGCUAACAUCAAUUUAGAUUGCACAUUUAUCAGUUGGAUUAUAUCAUAGACUGAAGUUCAGACCAUUAUAAUGUAUGUUGCUUCUUUGAAAGUUAGACUUCAUAAAGAAGCAAUUUCACCCGACCACAGUAGCUCUGAAAAAAUGCAUAACGGAUUUGUGGGUUCACCUUCAUGGAUGGUGCUUUUCUUGUGAUAGUGUCAUAACUGAUAAAUAAAUAAAUCUACAUUGCUUCACAUGCUAGAUGAUUUUGGUGGCCUACUGUGUGACGUAUACUUGACUGGUGAGGGCUUAAAGCGGGGCCUUGGUUUCAAAACUCUGUUUGUGCACAAUCUAUAUCCUCUAUUGUGAAGGAACUGGAUGGAGCAAGGUCCACAUGCCUUAAAUUUCUUAAAGAUCUCCCGCACUUGCUUAAUUUACCCAGUGGAGUAAACAAAAGCUGGGUCCAGUACUAUUGCAUGCCUAAUGCAGAACUUCUUUUAUGCACAACCCCAGUGCGGGAGUGUGAAUUGGUGAUCCCACUACAUUGGUUAACUGAGUGCAAUGGUAAUACCGUCUGAAUUGCCUCACCCUCUUUAUACUGUCUGAUUUCACUUAGUCAUUGUUGCAUUUACCAUAAGAUUAACUUCUUAUACUGAUAUGCUAUAUUUUUUCUUCCUUAAGAAAUAUUGUAACGGCCAUAUCUUUUCUUAUGUUCCAUUGUUAUUGAUCUGUUUUUCAUAAUUUUAAUUCUUAUUUUUCAAUUAUUAUCUCUAUGUAUGCCAAAAGCUGGAUUCGUGACAAGUUUAUUUGGGAGAAUAGUUAUGCCCAAAUUUAAUAAACUUUUGCUGAACAUACAGUAUCACAUAAAUCCUUCUAUCAUCUUAUUUCCAAAUGUUCAAUUUUAUGAGAGGAAUUAGCACGGCGGCCAAGUUAAGGCGUAUUUCCAUGCCGGUGGGCGCCGAGCUCGACGGCAAUCCGGCACAGGCAGUGUCCACCAACAGCUCCUCUUCCAAGGACAAAGUGGGCCACGCACAACAGACCUGCAUGCAGAUUUUCCUUUUCAUGUCAUUUAUUUGCUUAUAAUUCAUACUUGGUCUUAAUACUAGCUUUUUGUUUGUAAUAGUUCAUGGGGUGAAAUUUCUUCAUGACGUUGGUUCGUUUGCAUAGCCAAAUUAUUAUGAUUAUAUUUUAUUACUCUCUGUCGUCGGAUAGAAAUAUAUUACUUUAAUGUCUUUGUCCUCAUUUUGCUCUCUUGAACCAGAGUUUCUUCACAUCAUGUA